GCUUGAUUUGCUUUUCGCAACAGUGCAUACGUUUGUUACGUAGGUACCUAUCUCUUUUUUACGUGUUUUUGCUUCGUUUCAUCAAUUUUUUACGGCAAAGGGAAUGAAUGCAGAUGACCGUGCGAAGUGGAGACGAAAAAGUAAGAAAGCGGACCCGGGGUUCCGACGCUCAACGGCUAAGGAAGAAACCGGGAACACACUAAAAUGAGAGGGAGACUUACCUUUUAUUUUUUUCAUGUUGGUCGACGUUUCAAAUGGAAUCGCAUUCAUCACGGCCACAGCCACGACAGGCGAUAAAACGAUAUUAUUUUUUGGCAGAGUCAUAUCUGGCAGAAUUGUUUUUUUUUUAUUUUUAUUAUUCGCGCCGAAAAUUUUUAUAAUAUUAUUUUAUAUACUACACUAACAUUUGACAUGAAUUGAACUAUUGAUUAUAUAUUAUAAUAUAUUUUUUACUUUAUUUAUUUAACACAAUACUUUCCGUUUAUAUUUGGACUAAGUCGAAGAUACACUAAAUGUUUUGGGAUAAUAUUGACAAUUACUUUAUAAGUUAUUGCAACAAAAAAAUAUUUAAAAUUAAAAAAAAAUGUCAUAAUAAAAAAAAUAUCCUUGUUUAUUUAAUUCUGUCAUCAGAAUGACGUGUGUUUUUGAUUUUUAAUAGUUUAAUCACUGUAUAAAUAAAUAGUACGAUACUAAGUGUGGUGGGCCAUCUUGCCCAAACAGGAGUUCGUGGAGUUGCCAUGUUCAAGGUCUUUACUGCUCAACGAGGCGGAAAUAAUGAGAUUAGCUUUUUAGCGGUGCACUCUAGCGGCGAUUCCGCGAACUUUACAGUCCGGGUCGACAACCUUCAGGUGCAGUAUAGCGGCUACAACGACCGUCCAACGAGAACUGAAAUCAUCGGCCUUCGAAAAUCAAAAUAUCCAAGGACAGCGCAGCGCCGGGUCAUUGAACUCCGGUAACGCCACUGGGUCAAAAAAAGAGCAUGUCAUCGCUAUUUCGAUCGCUUUCAUCGACGCGCCUCUAGAUGAUUCCAUACGACAUCAGACCUUUACAGCUAGUGCUACGAGGUGCUACGAUCCUGUGACGGCAGGCUACGAAGCGCCUACGUUCUCAGCUACGAAUUGUUCGUAGCAAAGAGCUUGUCUCUCUUCAAGUACUACCCCACUAAUAUUCUACGUUGUUACGAAGAAUUUAGUAAAUAAUGCUCGCUACUUGUGUGUUC